rnacentral:rRNA from 1 species
UCCUGACUGACCGAUAGUGAACCAGUACCGUGAGGGAAAGGCGAAAAGAACCCCGGCGAGGGGAGUGAAAAAGAACCUGAAACCGUGUACGUACAAGCAGUGGGAGCACGCUUAGGCGUGUGACUGCGUACCUUUUGUAUAAUGGGUCAGCGACUUAUAUUCUGUAGCAAGGUUAACCGAAUAGGGGAGCCGAAGGGAAACCGAGUCUUAACUGGGCGUUAAGUUGCAGGGUAUAGACCCGAAACCCGGUGAUCUAGCCAUGGGCAGGUUGAAGGUUGGGUAACACUAACUGGAGGACCGAACCGACUAAUGUUGAAAAAUUAGCGGAUGACUUGUGGCUGGGGGUGAAAGGCCAAUCAAACCGGGAGAUAGCUGGUUCUCCCCGAAAGCUAUUUAGGUAGCGCCUCGUGAAUUCAUCUCCGGGGGUAGAGCACUGUUUCGGCAAGGGGGUCAUCCCGACUUACCAACCCGAUGCAAACUGCGAAUACCGGAGAAUGUUAUCACGGGAGACACACGGCGGGUGCU